rnacentral:rRNA from 1 species
AUUGAACGCUGGCGGCAUGCCUUACACAUGCAAGUCGAACGGCAGCACGGGAGCAAUCCUGGUGGCGAGUGGCGAACGGGUGAGUAAAGUAUCGGAACGUGCCCAGUCGUGGGGGAUAACGUAGCGAAAGUUACGCUAAAACCGCAUACGACCUACGGAUGAAAGCGGGGGAUGGCAAGACCUCGCGCGAUUGGAGCGGCUGAUAUCAGAUUAGGUAGUUGGUGGGGUAAAGGCUCACCAAGCCGACGAUCUGUAGCUGGUCUGAGAGGACGACCAGCCACACUGGGACUGAGACACGGCCCAGACUCCUACGGGAGGCAGCAGUGGGGAAUUUUGGACAAUGGGCGCAAGCCUGAUCCAGCCAUGCCGCGUGCAGGAUGAAGGCCUUCGGGUUGUAAACUGCUUUUGUACGGAACGAAAAGGUUUGGCCUAAUAAGCUGGACCCAUGACGGUACCGUAAGAAUAAGCACCGGCUAACUACGUGCCAGCCGCCGCGGUAA